AUAAGGUUUGAAUCCAUGUUUCGUUCUGUUCGCCUUCUCGGUCUACUACUAAACGCACUCAGCUUGCGCGGUAGACUUGUGGGCGGAAUCAAACACUGAUUCAAACCUGCUGAAAGUUAAAAACCCGCGCCGUUAAACCCCCGCGCCUGUCGCGGGUUUUUUU
rfam:Triticum urartu cultivar G1812 contig914795, whole genome shotgun sequence.